AAAGUCCCCUGAUGCCAAUUGAUCAUUCGGGCAUCUAGCAGGAGGUUGAGUUUAUGAAGUGAUUUAUAGGCUUAAGUUACCUUGAACGGUAAAUGCAAAGCAGCGGGCUGCAACAAAAGUGAACCUAAAUUAGCCUCGUAAUACGAAGGAGCACUUGCCGACCGUAUCGUCGCAGUGGGAAGGCUGAUAAGAGAUAGGGAUUAAUGGUCAUGAGAACUAUCUUAUAAGUGCCGGGGUGUUAGGGGU
rfam:Gammaproteobacteria bacterium RIFCSPHIGHO2_12_FTLL_41_15 rifcsphigho2_12_scaffold_37423, whole genome shotgun sequence.